CCUACGGGUGGCAGCAGUGAGGAAUAUUGGUCAAUGGGCGCGAGCCUGAACCAGCCAAGUAGCGUGAACGAUGACUGCCCUACGGGUUGUAAACUUCUUUUAUAAAGGAAUUAAGUGAGGCACGUGUGCCUUUUUGUAUGUACUUUAUGAAUAAGGAUCGGCUAACUCCAUGCCAGCAGCAGCGGUAAUACGGAGGAUCCGAGCGUUAUCCGGAUUUAUUGGGUUUAAAGGGAGCGUAGAUGGGUUGUUAAGUCAGUUGUUAAAGUGUGAGGGGCAACCGGAAGAUUGCAAUUGAUACUGGCAGUCUUGAGUACAGUUGAGGUAGGCGGAAUUCGUGGUGUAGCGGUGAAAUGCGUAGAUAUCACGAAGAACUCCGAUUGCGAAGGCAGCUUACUAAACUGCCACUGACAUUGAGGCUCGAAAGUGUGGGUAGCAAACAGGAUUAGAUACCCCUGUAGUC
rnacentral:rRNA from 1 species